UAAGGAGCAAUGGUGGUCUUUUA
rnacentral:siRNA from 1 species